rnacentral:rRNA from 1 species
CAGCAGCCGCGGGAAUACGAAGGGUGCAAGCGUUAAUCGGAAUUACUGGGCGUAAAGCGCGCGUAGGUGGUUUGUUAAGUUGGAGGUGAAAUCCCCGGGCUCAACCUGGGAACUGCCUCCAAAACUGGCUGACUAGAGUACGGUAGAGGGUGGUGGAAUUUCCUGUGUAGCGGUGAAAUGCGUAGAUAUAGGAAGGAACACCAGUGGCGAAGGCGACCACCUGGACUGAUACUGACACUGAGGUGCGAAAGCGUGGGGAGCAAACAGGAUUAGAUCCCCCGUAGUCCCUGUCUCUUAUACC